ACGCUGGCGGCAUGCUUUACACAUGCAAGUCGGACGGCAGCACAGAGAAGCUUGCUUCUUGGGUGGCGAGUGGCGAACGGGUGAGUAAUAUAUCGGAACGUACCGAGUAAUGGGGGAUAACUAAUCGAAAGAUUAGCUAAUACCGCAUAUUCUCUGAGGAGGAAAGCAGGGGACCUUCGGGCCUUGCGUUAUUCGAGCGGCCGAUAUCUGAUUAGCUAGUUGGUGGGGUAAAGGCCUACCAAGGCGACGAUCAGUAGCGGGUCUGAGAGGAUGAUCCGCCACACUGGGACUGAGACACGGCCCAGACUCCUACGGGAGGCAGCAGUGGGGAAUUUUGGACAAUGGGCGCAAGCCUGAUCCAGCCAUGCCGCGUGUCUGAAGAAGGCCUUCGGGUUGUAAAGGACUUUUGUCAGGGAAGAAAAGGCUGUUGCUAAUACCGACAGCUGAUGACGGUACCUGAAGAAUAAGCACCGGCUAACUACGUGCCAGCAGCCGCGGUAAUACGUAGGGUGCGAGCGUUAAUCGGAAUUACUGGGCGUAAAGCGAGCGCAGACGGUUACUUAAGCAGGAUGUGAAAUCCCAGGCUCAACCUGGGAACUGCGUUCUGAACUGGGUGACUAGAGUGUGUCAGAGGGAGGUAGAAUUCCACGUGUAGCAGUGAAAUGCGUAGAGAUGUGGAGGAAUACCGAUGGCGAAGGCAGCCUCCUGGGAUAACACUGACGUUCAUGCUCGAAAGCGUGGGUAGCAAACAGGAUUAGAUACCCUGGUAGUCCACGCCCUAAACGAUGUCAAUUAGCUGUUGGGCAACUUGAUUGCUUAGUAGCGUAGCUAACGCGUGAAAUUGACCGCCUGGGGAGUACGGUCGCAAGAUUAAAACUCAAACGAAUUGACGGGGACCCGCACAAGCGGUGGAUGAUG
rnacentral:rRNA from 1 species